rnacentral:rRNA from 1 species
GAUUAACGCUGGCGGCGUGCCUAAUGCAUGCAAGCCGAACGGCUCGAUUUAUCGAGCAGUGGCAAACGGGUGAGUAACACGUAAGAACCUACCCUCAAGUGGGGGAUAACCCCGAGAAAUCGGGGCUAAUACCGCAUACGCUCUCUGAUUCUGUCAGGGAGGAAAGUUGAGGCGCUUGAGGACGGGCUUGCGUCCGAUUAGCUUGUUGGUGAGGUAAUGGCUCACCAAGGCUGAGAUCGGUAGCUGGUCUUAGAGGAUGAUCAGCCACACUGGGACUGAGAUACGGCCCAGACUCCUACGGGAGGCAGCAGCAGGGAAUAUUGCGCAAUGGGUGAAAGCCUGACGCAGCAACGCCGCGUGGGGGAUGAAGGCCCUCGGGUCGUAAACCCCUUUUCU